UACGGGGGGAGCAAGCGUUGUUCGGAUUUACUGGGCGUAAAGGGCGCGUAGGCGGUCAGCACAAGUCAGUUGUGAAAUCUCCGGGCUUAACUCGGAAAGGUCAACUGAUACUGUGCGACUAGAGUGCGGAAGGGGCAACUGGAAUUCUCGGUGUAGCGGUGAAAUGCGUAGAUAUCGAGAGGAACACCUGCGGCGAAGGCGGGUUGCUGGGCCGACACUGACACUGAGAGACGAAAGCUAGGGGAGCAAAUGGG
rnacentral:rRNA from 1 species